CAGACUCCAGCCCCACCACGACGUACACGCGGGAGCUGUAUGAUUUCCCUCGUCGUGAGGGUCGCACCGGCUACCUGGGCGAUGACAUGGACACCGAGUCCUACGAAGAAUCUUCCUCCUCCUCCUCCUCCUGGCUCUAUGGGGCAGCCCCAGGUCCCCUGGGGGAAGCCACCGCCCGCCAGCCGAUCGGAGAGGCCGCGUCCUAUACCCCGAGCAGGUCGGGGGAGACCGGGA